GAGAGAUCAGCACCAGCACAGACCCUUUCUCCAAAAAAUCCAUUAAUCUAACUGGAAAUGUGAUUGAGUGCACUGAAAGUGGAGCUUUUGAAGUCGAUGCGUCAGCCUGAAGUGUUGAAGAGACGGAGAGAGAGAGAGAGAGAGAGAGAGAGAGAGACGGAGCGGAUCCCGGAGUGGAUCCCGGAGUGUUGAACUACCCAAAGGAAAAGGACAGUGAUUCCCAAACCACAGAGAAAUGAAAGACUGUUGAUGAGUAUCAAACACAACCUUGACAGAGACUCAGAAGAGGCUGAAAAAAAAUGGAGGAAAACAAAAAAAUUGAGGAAUUACAACAAAAAAAAGCUACCAAAUCUGAUAAAUGAAGUGAAGAUGUCCCUGAAGUCUCAGUGUUCGUCAGCAUCAGUCAGCUCUGACUUGGAAGGUGGGACAGGAUUUGCCACAGAGUAAUUACAGAGCCCUUCCAACAGAACAGGAGCAACGUUGCAGAAAGUGUCCUCAUGUGGUGCCCGCCAGCAUUGGUACAGCAAUUAAUACCAAACUUACUGAAAUUAGAGGGAAGAAAACACAAAAACAUCCAAAAUCCUUAAUGGUCUUUGAUGAUUGAUAGCCAUGACAGUGUGUUCGAGGUAUUUUGGUGGGGGGGUGUGUUUUGCCUUUGCAAAGUUCAGUUUGAUAUCAAGUUGUAAUUCUAAAUUACUCUUGUG